GAUCAAGCUAAUAAGAGCACAGGGAGGAUGCCUUGGCACCAGGCGCCGAAGAAGGACGUGACAAGCUGCGAAAAGCUGCGGGGAGCUGCAAAUGAGCGAUAUAUCCGCAGAUAUCCGAAUGAGGGAACUCACAUUGAGUAGCAUCAAUGUAGAUACGCGUGAACAAAAUAGCGCGUAUCGGGGAACCCGGGGAACUGAAACAUCUAAGUACCCGGAGGAAAAGAAAGAAAACAAUCGAUUCCCGAAGUAGUGGCGAGCGAAACGGGAAGAGCCUAAACCGCGGUAUGGAAACAUAGCGCGGGGUGAGGACUGUCGAGAACGCGAACGGAGCGGACGUAGUCGAACGUGUAUUGGAAAAGCAGACGAAACAGAGUAAAAGUCUCGUAGGCGAAACGGAAGCGAAGCGCAAGACAGAUCCCGAGUACCGCAGGACACGAGGAAUCCGGCGGGAAUAAAGGAGGACCAUCUCCUAAGGCUAAAUACGACCUGGUGACCGAUAGAGUAUAGUACCGUGAGGGAACGGUGAAAAGAACCCCGGGAGGGGAGUGAAAGAGAACCUGAAACCCUGUGCUUACAAGCAGACGGAGCGUUCGAAAGGGCGUGACGUCGUACUUUUUGUAGAACGGGCCUGCGAGUUACGUUGCGCAGCGAGGUUAAGGUAUUAAGUACCGGAGCCGAAGCGAAAGCGAGUUUUAAAAGAGCGUAGAGUUGCGUGACGUAGACCCGAAACCGGAUGACCUAUUCAUGGACAGGUUGAAGCCGUGGUAAGACACGGUGGAGGACCGAACCCACGCCUGUUGAAAAAGUCGGGGAUGAGCUGUGAAUAGCGGAGAAAUUCCAAUCGAAUCCGGAGAUAGCUGGUUCUCCUCGAAAUAGCUUUAGGGCUAGCCUCUGACGAGAAUACUGAAGGUAGAGCACUGAAUGGGCUAGGGGGCUUCACGGCUUACCGAACCUUAUCAAACUUCGAAUGAAAGAUAUUUGAUGUCAGGGAGUCAGACAGCGUGAGAUAAGUUUCGUUGUCGAAAGGGAAAAAGCCCGGACCUACAACUAAGGUCCCAAAGUUCAAGUUAAGUGGUAAAGGAUGUGACAUUGCUAAAACAACCGGGAUGUUGGCUUAGAAGCAGCCAAGCAUUUAAAGAGUGCGUAAUAGCUCACCGGUCGAGUGAUGCCGCGCCGAAGAUACACGGGGCUAAAACUUGACGCCGAAGUUUAGGAAUAAUGUAAUAAUUAUUGGUAGAGGAGCAAUGUGUAUAGGCUGAAGCCCGGUCGGAAGGCAGGGUGGACAAUACACAAGAGAGAAUGCAGGCAUAAGUAGCGAAAGCAUGGUGAGAAACCAUGCCGUCGAAAGCCUAAGGUUUCCUGGGGAAGGUUCGUCCGCCCAGGGUAAGUCGGGACCUAAGUCGAGGGCGAAAGCCGUAGAUGAUGGACAGCCGGUUGAUAUUCCGGCACCGAAUUUUUGCCGCAUAAAUGAUGCAAUGACACGGGAGGAUAGUCUGAGCGCGCUGAUGGACAAGCGCGUACAGAGGACGAGUGUGGAACGCAGUGAAGUACGCGUUUCGUAUAAGCAUGGGUCUGAUGGACAAGUUGAAUGACGGAAACAGACGAAUUCACACCGGCGAGAAAAGUUGCUAAAUAGGCAGGAAGCGCCCGUACCGCAAACCGACACAGGUAGGCGAGGAGAAAAUCCUAAGACGAACGGGAGAACCCUUGUUAAGGAACUCUGCAAAAUGACCCCGUAACUUCGGAAGAAGGGGAGCCCAUAGCGAUAUGGGUCGCAGUAAAGAGGCCCAAGCGACUGUUUACCAAAAACACAGGUCUCUGCGAAAUCGUAAGAUGACGUAUAGGGGCUGACGCCUGCCCAGUGCCGGAAGGUUAUAGGGAAGUGUUAGAGCGAUCGAAGCACCGAACUUAAGCCCCGGUGAACGGCGGCCGUAACUAUAACGGUCCUAAGGUAGCGAAAUUCCUUGUCGGGUAAGUUCCGACCCGCACGAAUGGCGUAACGACUUGGGCGCUGUCUCAACAGGUGGCCCGGCGAAAUUGUAGUAUACGUGAAGAUGCGUAUUACCCGCGACUGGACGGAAAGACCCCGUAGAGCUUUACUGUAGCUUGAUAUUGGAUUUCGGUAAUUGAUGUACAGGAUAGGUGGGAGACAUGGAAGCUCGGGCGUCAGCUUGAGCGGAGUCGCCGUUGGGAUACCACCCUUUAAUUACUGAGGUUCUAACGCCGUGCCGUGAACCGGGCGGGGGACAGUGUCAGGCGGACAGUUUGACUGGGGCGGUCGCCUCCAAAAGAGUAACGGAGGCGUUCAAAGGUUCCCUCAGGAUGGUUGGAAAUCAUCCAAAGAGUGUAAAGGCAGAAGGGAGCUUAACUGAGAGACGCACAGGUCGAUCAGAUACGAAAGUAGGACUUAGUGAUCCGGCGGUAGAGAAUGGAAUUGCCGUCGCUUAACGGAUAAAAGUUACCUCGGGGAUAACAGGCUUAUCUCCCCCAAGAGUUCACAUCGACGGGGAGGUUUGGCACCUCGAUGUCGGCUCGUC
rnacentral:rRNA from 1 species